CGCUCUGGUCGCAGUGGAUGGCUAACCUCGACCAGUCAUCCUGGUCAGGGACAGUGCCUGGCGGGUAGUUUAACUGGGGCGGUUGCCUCCCAAAGAGUAACGGAGGCGCUCAAAGGUUCCCUCAGCCCGGUUGGCAAUCGGGUGGCGAGUGUAAGUGCACAAGGGAGCUUGACUGCGAGAAUGACGGGUCGAGCAGGGACGAAAGUCGGAACUAGUGAUCCGGUGCCGGUGUACGGACGCGGCAUCGCUCAACGGAUAAAAGGUACCCCGGGGAU
rnacentral:rRNA from 1 species